GAUGAACGCUGGCGGCGUGCCUAAUACAUGCAAGUCGAGCGAACGGACGAGAAGCUUGCUUCUCUGAUGUUAGCGGCGGACGGGUGAGUAACACGUGGAUAACCUACCUAUAAGACUGGGAUAACUUCGGGAAACCGUAGCUAAUACCGGAUAAUAUUUUGAACCGCAUGGUUCAAAAGUGAAAGACGGUCUUGCUGUCACUUAUAGAUGGAUCCGCGCUGCAUUAGCUAGUUGGUAAGGUAACGGCUUACCAAGGCAACGAUGCAUAGCCGACCUGAGAGGGUGAUCGGCCACACUGGAACUGAGACACGGUCCAGACUCCUACGGGAGGCAGCAGUAGGGAAUCUUCCGCAAUGGGCGAAAGCCUGACGGAGCAACGGCGAGUGAGUGACGAAGGUCUUCGGAUCGUAAAACUCUGUUAUUAGGGAAGAACAUAUGUGUAAGUAACUGUGCACAUCUUGACGGUACCUAAUCAGAAAGCCACGGCUAACUACGUG
rnacentral:rRNA from 1 species